rnacentral:rRNA from 1 species
AGUUUAAGGAGCUUGCUUUUUAAACUUAGUGGCGGACGGGUGAGUAAUGCGUGAGUAACCUGCCUAUUAGAGGGGGAUAACGUUCGGAAACGAAUGCUAAUACCGCAUAUAGUACAUAAUUCGCAUGAAUAGAUGUAUGAAAGGAGAGAUCCGCUGAUAGAUGGGCUCCCGUCCGAUUAGUUAGUUGGUGGGGUAAAGGCCUACCAAGACUGCGAUCGGUAGCCGGGCUGAGAGGCUGAACGGCCACAUUGGGACUGAGAUACGGCCCAGACUCC